ACAAGCCAUGCAUGCCUGCACACCCGGGAGGCGGCGGACGGCUCAGGACAACGGUUGCACCCCCCGCGGCGGUCCCUGCUAGCCGGACACCGCUGGCAACCCGGCGCCAAGACGUGCGCGCAAGUGCGGGCGCCCGCGGG
rnacentral:rRNA from 1 species